rfam:Oryza barthii chromosome 12, whole genome shotgun sequence.
AAAAAGAUAAACCAUGGGUUUCCGUGUCCAACUUUGACUGUUCGUCUUAUAUGAAUUUUUUUUAUAAUUCGUAUUUUCAUUGUUGUUAGAUGAUAAAACAAGAUUAAUAUUUUAUGCGUGACUUGUUUUUUUAAUUUUUUUUAUAAUUUUUUCAAAUAAGACGGACGAUCAAACGUUAGGCACGGAAAUCAGGGUUUGUCUUUUU